GAUGAAGAACGUAGCGAAAUGCGAUAAGUAGUGUGAAUUGCAGAAUUCAGUGAAUCAUCGAAUCUUUGAACGCACAUUGCGCCCUUUGGUAUUCCUUAGGGCAUGCCUGUUCGAGCGUCAUUUAAACCUUCAAGCUCAGCUUGGUGAUGGGUGACUGUCCUCCCCUCGCGGGGGGACUCGCCUCAAAAACAUUGGCGGCCGGUACAUUGGCUUCGAGCGCAGCAGAAACGCGGUCUCGAGCCCGGUGGAUCGGCUCCCAUAAGUCUAUUCUUUUAUUUUGACCUCGGAUCAGGUAGGGAUACCCGCUGAACUUAAGCAUAUCAAUAAGCGGAGA
rnacentral:misc_RNA from 1 species